AUUUAAAAGUCGCGAAAUGUGCCGAGGUUAUUUUCACACCCCUUCCAAUUUCAAGUUUCAAAUUUCACCUUCAGAUUAAGAACAUUGAUUUUUUUUUGCUAUCUUUGCAUUGCUAUCAUUCCAAAGGGUACCCAACGUAUUGAAUACAAUUAUGAAUGCACAGGUAGCCCAUAUAUCACAUUUAGUGGAGAUCAGAAGAUCAUUCACCUUCACAGCAUCUUCCGCACGGAACCGAAGGUGGGGCAAACAUGAGCGGCAUAAAAGGUGCUAAAAUAUAGAAAUACAGAAAAAAACAAGUGGAAACAUCAUACUUUAUCAGUUCCCAUGAAAACCCCAGUGUUUCUUGCACCACCUCCAGCUGGCUGACAACAAGACAAAGGAAAUGUUGGCAAACCACUGUUCUACUGGAAAUGCUGUCAGAGUUUGCAUGGUGCUAUCGCAAAAUAACACAAUAAAGCUGUCACAUAGAAAUAAAAA